UACAGGGCACUGGGUUUGCAUCACUGGUCACCACUACCUUGUUUGUCUGUCUUCUAUUGGGUGUUGGUUUUCUGAGGAGGAUGUGAGCAUUCUAGUUACUGAUGGGGCCCCUGUCAUGGGGGGGAAAGGGCCAUGAGUAUUGUGUAAAUUGGGGAUCUGAGUCCAGAACUGAGGGAAUGGGCUGUGGUAAGUGCGCCCUGUUUGGUUUACAUGGUUCCUGGUAAUGGUAGUGCCAGUGGGAGCAGAGGAACUGCUUGCAUCCAUGAGGUACUUAAGAGGCUUUGGGAGGUGCAGUUUGUGAAAGAAUGUCGUGCAAGGUGUGU